CUCUCUCUCUCUCUCUCUCUUCUCCUCUGCUCAAAUCUCAAAGCAAUCCCUCUCUCUCUCUCUCUCUCUCUCUCUCUUAAUCCGUGCGGGCGAGCGCGAGUUUGUUUGUUCGCUCAUCUCUCCCUCUCUCUCUCUCUCUCUCUGCAAAUGGCGCUACUCAGGAGGCAGCACCGCUGGUUCUAGAGAGAGAAAGAGUGUGGACUUUUUGAGUGUGAAUUUCUCUCUCUAUAUCACUCCUCUGUAAGCGUGAAGAGGGGAGAGGCGCAGGGGGGCGUGGUGUUGUGGAGAUCGCUGGCAUUUAAUGGUGGACAGCCCCUCGUGAAUCCCUUCUCUUCGCAUCCCGUCCUCCGCCGUUAACGGUCACUUCUCCCUGUCUCUCUCUCUCUCUCUCUCUGUCUCGCCGCAUAUAUAGCAGCUCGUACUAUACUCAAUACAAUACUCUCCCUCCCUCCCUCCCUCGUGUGCCGCCUUCAAUCUCCAUUUCCUACCUUCUUCUCUGUCUCUCCGCGCCUGCCUGCGCGUUGAAAAGGAACCGAGACCGAUCCGUACGAUCCCCGGCCUUUGUUUAAUCCCUGCAUUCGGCGGCAAUUCCGGGACGAAUCGAAAGAUGUUGACUUGCAUAGCCUGUUCGAAGCAGCCGCAGCUCAACGGCCGCGGAUCUCAUUCCCUCCCCAGCAGCAGGACGACGACGCCUCCGAUGCCGUCGGCACGCCCAGCACCAAGCAGGCCAUUAAGGCUCUCACCGCCCAGAUUAAGGACAUGGCUUUGAAGGCUUCGGGAGCAUACAAGAAUUGCAAGCCAUGUUCGGGAUCGAACCAGAACCACAAUCAGAACUACGCCGACUCCGAAACCGCCUCUGAUUCGGCAAGGCUCCACGGUCAAUACCGCAGGGCGGGCAGCUCGAACUCGACCCCUAGGUUGUGGGGUAAAGAAAUGGAGUCGAGGCUCAAGGG